rnacentral:rRNA from 1 species
UCAUUUGGUUUACCUCAUAAAACUGAAAACGAUACUGCUAUCCUGAGGGAAUCUUUGGCAGGAACCAGCUAUUUGAUGGUUCGAUUUGUCUUUCGCCCCUAUACCCAAAUUUGACGAUCGAAUUUCCCGUCAGAACCAUUUUUUUAUUUUUAUAAUCACCGGGGGGUGUCAAUGGCCUAACGGCUGAACCAGCAACUUGGGGGAAUGUAUUUCGAUUAUGUCGUAUAAAGUUCUAGAUAGAUUGAUGAUAAUGACAAUUUUCUAUCUAUAUGUCUUGACCAAAUCUUGUGCCAGCAGUCGCGGCAAGACAAGAGAGACUAGUGUUAUUCAUCUUUAUUAGGUUUAAAGGGUACCUAGACUGUAAAUUUAGCCCCUAAAGGGUACGUAUUUGCUAGAGUUAUUUGUGAGAGGAAUAUAGCAGAACUAUUGGUGUAAAGAUGAAAUUUUUUAAUACCAAUAUAACGGGUAACGGCGAAGGCAACCCUUUAUGUGAUAACUGACGUUGAGGGACGAAGGCUCAGGGAGCGAAGAGGAUUAGAUACCCCCGUAGUCUGGGCAGACAAUUAUGAGUGUCAUAGACUUAAGGCCAACUAGUAAAACUAAAUUGCUUUUUUUUUGCUAGUCGGUGGGGUCUAUAAAUGAAAAUGUAAGCACUCCACCUCAAGAGUAAUGUGGCAACGCAGGAACUGAAAUCAUUAGACCGUUUCUGAAACCAGUAGUGAAGUAUGUUAUUUAAUUCGAUGAUCCUCGAAAAACCUUACCAUAAUUUGUAUGUCAAUCUUAUAUUGAUACAAGCGUUGCAUGGCUGUCUUCAGUUAAUGUCGUGAGAUUUGGUUAGUUCCAUUAAAUUAACGUAAACCCUUGCUUUAUUUAGAUUUAUAAAGCAGCUCGCCGCGACAAUUGGGUGUGACAACAGGGACUAAGUACAAGUCAUGCRUKKCCUGAAUAUUAUGGGUACAAUGUAGACCCGGGAAAACCCUGGGGGGGGGGGGAAAUCUGUUCCUCAGACUCCAGGGACCCCCCCCUUUUGCGCGACAAAAAUCUGUUUUUAUAUCUCUUCACGACAUAGGGUUUUCGUCUUAAUACACGCGAAAUUUUCCACUCUCACGAACUUUAACUGGA